GCUUCAUUCAAAUAUCUGCCCUAUCAACUUUUGACGGUAGGAUAGGGGCCUACCGUGGUUUUAACGGGUAACGGGGAAUUAGGGUUCGAUUCCGGAGAGGGAGCUGAGAAACGGCUACCACAUCCAAGGAAGGCAGCAGGCGCGCAAAUUACCCAAUCCCGACCGGGGAGGUAGUGACAAUAAAUAACAAUACAGGGCCUCAACGGUCUUGUAAUUGGAAUGAGUACAAUUUAAAUACCUUAACGAGUAACAAUUGGAGGGCAAGUCUGGUGCCAGCAGCCGCGGUAAUUCCAGCUCCAAUAGCGUAUAUUAAAGUUGUUGCAGUUAAAAAGCUCGUAGUUG
rnacentral:rRNA from 1 species